GGCAAAGGAAGCCACACCCUGCUGGGCUCUAGGAAGACUUCUCAGAGAGGUGGAGUUCUGAGGCUGCCUUUUGGCAGAGAGCCUGAGUACACCGACCCACUCCCUGAAGAUAAGCAAAGCUAACUAAGGCUGAGAGGAAGGUGCGGGAGAUGCAGAAGGCCCAGCAAGACUUUCCUCAUGCUGCCUGGGAACCAGGGGAUGGAAAGGCCCACACAGCACAUCACUGACAUUUGGAAGCUGUGUGCGUGGCUGCUGUAGCUGGUGGAAAAUAUCAACAGGUGUUGGUGCAGAGGAGCAAGGUGAGGUGCUCCUGGUGGCUCCUGGAAACCUUGUUUGGGUUUCUGUGGUCCCAGGAGCGCAGGGCACAU
rnacentral:lncRNA from 1 species